CCUACGGGAGGCAGCAGUGGGGAAUCUUGCGCAAUGGGCGAAAGCCUGACGCAGCCAUGCCGCGUGAAUGAUGAAGGUCUUAGGAUUGUAAAAUUCUUUCAGCAGGGACGAUAAUGACGGUACCUGCAGAAGAAGCCCCGGCUAACUUCGUGCCAGCAGCCGCGGUAAUACGAAGGGGGCUAGCGUUGCUCGGAAUUACUGGGCGUAAAGGGAGCGUAGGCGGGUUAUCAAGUUGGAGGUGAAAGCCCAGGGCUCAACCUUGGAAUUGCCUUCAAAACUGAUAGCCUAGAGUAUGAUAGAGGUAUGUGGAACUCCGAGUGUAGAGGUGAAAUUCGUAGAUAUUCGGAAGAACACCAGUGGCGAAGGCGACAUACUGGGUCAUGACUGACGCUGAGGCUCGAAAGCGUGGGGAGCAAACAGGAUUAGAUACCCUGGUAGUCCACGCUGUAAACGAUGAUUGNUAGUUGUUGGUCGACGCAUGCGUGGUCGGUGGACGCGAGCGUAACGACAUUAAGUACAACUACCGCCGUCGGGGAGGUACGGUCGGCGAACGAAGUUAAAACGUUAAAAGUUAAGUAAGUUAGUACGGACGUGAGACGUGACCGACGGACGACGACGAGGGAGGAGGG
rnacentral:rRNA from 1 species